CCUCCUGCCUCCCUCCGCCCGCCCGGCCUCAGCAAGCCGAGGGCGGGAGUCAUGGCGGAGAGCGGUCCUGUGAAUGAGGAUGCCGCGGCGUCUUCCUCGCAGCCCCCUGGCCCCGGCCCCUGUCCUCGGCGCUGGGAGCGACUGAGGCUGGCAGCUGGGCCCUGGGCGCGGUCGUUUGGCUUCCUGGCGGCGCUGGGUCUCCUUUACUUCUUGCGGGGCCCGCUCCGGCUGCGGGACAACUUAGUGGCAGUGACUGUUUUCUUGAGCACACUGACUCCAAAAUUCUAUGUUGCACUUACGGGGACUUCAUCUUUGAUAUCUGGUCUGAUAUUUAUAUUUGAAUGGUGGUACUUCAGAAAAUAUGGCACGUCUUUUAUUGAACAGGUUUCCGUGAGUCAUUUGCGACCACUCAUUGGAGGGGCAGAGAAUGCUAGUUCUGCACAGGCAAAUUUCUCUGCUGCUAGUGGAGAAAAUGAAAUGAACAGACAAAAUCUGUCAGAGUGCAAAGUAUGGAGAAAUCCACUCAAUCUCUUUAGAGGAGCAGAAUAUAACAGAUACACAUGGGUGACAGGAAAGGAGCCACUAACAUAUUACGAUAUGAACUUAUCUGCUCAGGAUCAUCAGAGUUUUUUCACCUGUGAAACAGACUCUCUUAGGCCUUCAGAUGCAGUUAUGCAGAAGGCAUGGCGGGAAAGGAACCCUCAGGCCCGAAUCAAAGCAGCGUAUCAAGCUUUAGAAUUAAAUAAUGACUGUGCCACAGCAUAUAUUCUUCUGGCUGAGGAAGAAGCAACUACUAUUUUAGAAGCUGAAAAAUAUUUUAAACAGGCUCUGAGAGCAGGAGAAACAGUUUAUAAAAAAUCUCAGCAUAGCAGUUCACAAAAUCCACACCAUGAGGCACAGAUUAGAAGAGAUACCAAUGUAUUGGUUUAUGUGAAAAGAAGACUAGCUAUGUGUGCAAGGAAGCUUGGAAGAAUUAAAGAAGCAGCAAAAAUGAUGAGGGAUUUAAUGAAAGAAUUUCCUGUCCUAAGUGUACUGAAUAUCCACGAAAACCUCCUAGAAACACUUCUGGAGCUACAGGCUUAUGCUGAUGUCCAGGCAGUUCUAGCAAAGUAUGAUGAUAUCAGCCUUCCAAAAUCAGCAGCAAUAUGUUACACAGCAGCACUCUUAAAAGCUAGAGCAGUUUCAGAUAGGUUUUCUCCAGAAACAGCUUCUAGAAGGGGACUUAGCACAGCAGAAAUUAAUGCCGUAGAAGCAAUACAUAGAGCAGUUGAAUUUAACCCUCAUGUUCCAAAGUACUUGCUAGAAAUGAAAAGCUUAAUUUUGCCUCCGGAGCAUAUUCUGAAGCGUGGGGACAGUGAAGCGGUGGCUUACGCAUUCUUCCAUCUUCAGCACUGGAAGCGAAUAGAAGGGGCCCUUAACUUGCUGCACUGCACAUGGGAAGGCACAUUUAGAAUGAUUCCAUAUCCAUUAGAAAAGGGACAUCUAUUUUAUCCCUAUCCCAGCUGCACAGAGACAGCAGACAGAGAGUUAUUACCAACAUUUCAUGAUGUAUCUGUGUAUCCCCAGAAAGACCUUCCUUUUUUCAUCCAUUUUACAGCAGGGCUGUGUUCUUUCACAGCAAUGUUAGCCCUCCUCACACAUCAGUUUCCUGAACUCAUGGUCAUUUUUGCUAAAGCUGUAAGUAUUGUCUCUACUCCAGGGUUUUCUUAAGAUGUUUCUGAGGCAUGCAGAAAUUGAGAACUUCAUCUGCAGACCUCUAGUCAGAGCCACGGACAUCUAAAAAUCUGAUUCAACAUUGAUUGUGGUUGCUCGCCUUUCUUUUAAGAAAGAUUUAUUAAAGAUGAGAUGAAAAUCUUAAGGUUUAUUUGGGCCAUCUUAAAUUAGGACGCUACAUUUAAUGUAUCACAAUUUUUGGCUUUUAAAGUUGGGAAACUUACUCUGCCAUUUCAAAUAAUGUUUUUGUAACUGUUAGGAUUUGUUAACAAUUAAUGUUUACAUUAACAGCAUGGAAAUAUUUAGACUGUAAGCUCUCUGGGCAAGAAGAACUUUCCCUCAGUAUCCUUCCUGUUAUUGACCAAAUAUAUUAUAAUAAAUGGUUGUAUCAUUUUCUUCUUGACAUUCAUUGCCAACUAAAUAAACUUUGUGGGGGAACUGAAUGGAAUUUGGAAUAUGGUGCUAUGACCUAGAUGUUGCUUACCACAAAUUCAAGUCUAUCUGCAAAUCUUUUCAUCUUCCCCAAGGAUAAUGUAGUGUAAUAGGCUAAUGGAUAUAGUGAAACUGGGAGCCAUGAAGAAUUUUCUUAUAUUUUACUUGUAUUUUCAGAAUAUAUAUUUAUUGAAAUUUGGAAAUAAAAUUGGAAUUAUGUGUCCAGUUGAUUAAAUCUGAAUUAUGUAUGGUUUUGUUGUUAUGUUAGUAAUCAUGACACUUGUUAACUUGGAGAGAGAAAAAAGGACUUUGUUUCAUCUGACAUCCAACUCCAGUUCAUUGGACCACUUUAGACAUGCGCCCAAGUGGACACAGCUUUUUGGUAGAUUCAGAGUUUCAUCUGUAUGAAUUUCUGAACACUGUUGCUUCCAAACUUUUUUUUUCUUUUUGUCUUUCUAUAAUUCUAAAACUGCUGUCCCAUCUGGAACUAGAGCAGUGAAGAUAGUGGACUUCAAUGAGUUUUUCAAUUGAGUUCAAAAAACAGAAUUAGACUAGCUAGAAAAAUAGAAGAAUCACUAUUUCAGAACUGUGAACCUCCUGCAUAAACUUGAAUCUGGUGGCAUCAGUAGCCCUUAAAUUUAUAAGAAACAAGAACAUCUUGUUGUAAAGUAUAUAAUAAUGAAUUUUAUGUCCUUCUCAGAUUAUAUUGAUGGACCUAGUUGGACUUGCCCUCAAGAGUUCAUAAAUAAAACUUAAAAAAUUAUCUUUCAUGACAUUCCUUUUUACGGCACCAACACGAAUCUGAAAUGAUGGUACCUCCUAAGAGCUGAAGUAACAGGGGUAGCUUUAUUACAAAGCAAUGCAAAACAGUUAUUGAUGACUGUUUCCAAG